GUUCAGUCAAGCAUCCAUCACAAAUCAAAACAUCAAUAAAAGUUUUGUUUUAAAACUGCGUUUUUUAUGUUUUCUUAAAUUGUUGGAGUUUUUCAAUCAUUUAACGAAAGAUUUUGUGGAGGUGUCGUUAUGAGCGAUGAUCAACCGUUAUCACGCAGAUCUGCCGUUUUCACCAGGUUUUCACGCAAAACUAAGUGUUUAUCUUCUUCUUCUCUUCUUAUUGGCAUUACAUCCCCACACUGGGACAGAGCCGCCUCGUAGCUUAUUGUUCAUUAAGCACUUCCACAGUUAUUAACUACGAGGUUUCUAAGCCAGGUUACCAUUUUUGCAUUCGUAUAUCAUGAGGCUAGCACGAUGAUACUUUUAUGCCCAGGGAAGUCGAGACAAUUUCCAAUCCGAAAAUUGCCUAGACCGGCACCGGGAAUCGAACCCAGCCACCCUCAGCAUGGCAUUGCUUUGUAGCCGUGCGUCCUACCGCACGGCUAAGGAGUGUUUAUAGCGAAUCAUAAAUUGGCGCGGGCUGCUACCAAAAUAUGUAGAUUUCUCUCAUGGCUCAUCGCGGAAGGAAUACCAGCAGGAAGUUGAGUUCUCUUCUUGCCCAGCAGAUAUAUUGACCAAUGGUUCCCGAAUGGACCUUUGCUUUAAGCCUCAUAUCACUGGUCAUAUUCCGGAUCCUACAAGUAUUUCAAUAUGAUAUGGUCCCGAUCAGUCUCAUUUCUACCAGCGAUUCGGCUUAAAUUAUGCAUCGAGUUCGGUAGAUUUACCGUCAUAGCAUCAAUCGGAAGGUCUUCCUGGAGGACGGCAAUGGAAAGAUCCUGGAAAUUUAGA